CUUGUCCUUGUGGAUAAAUCAUAAAUGAUUGUUAUUCUGAUUUAAUUGUUAUUACAGUUACAAGACACCACAAUUAGUUAACUAUUAAUUGUCCUUGUUGGCAGAGGGAUGCUUGAAUCCCUUUGUUUGAUACGUUUUGCCGUCAUGCAUAAUGCAGCGAUACUUAUCCCUUGUAAUUGUAACACAGUAACAGUAAUAAUAAAACACUUGAGUUACUGCAACUGAGGAUGGACUACCUUGGCGUCUUGUGUCCUUACUCCUUCGAAACCUAUAACCCUGGAAGCCUAUAUCUUGUACUCUGGAGGCCAGGCUUAGCCAGCGCUUAUUUCGAGAUCGCCCUAAAAACUCCUCAUUGUCAGUCGCAGUCGCAGAUCUUCGUGGGUUCCCAAGUGCUGCAGCAACGGUGUUUACGGCGUACCCUGUGAUGCUAGGGGAAAUCAAGGCCAAAGGGAACCUCAACGCUCAAAUCAUUCACCAGUAGUGGGACGUAUGCGUUCAAGGCUCAUCGCUGACGCUCAGUGCGACGGAGAGAAGCUGUGGAUCUGUAAGUGAGCAACGACUACCGCGCCCGCGGACGUAACGGCCUCGUAGACGCUGGUCUAGUUGGACAUUUAGAGCGCUUGCAUCGGACAACGCCGUCGGCGCCGAGCCCACUCACUAGAAGGGCAUACUCUUCCGGUUCUCCGACGGCCAGAUUCUUUCUCUCAAAAGCAGAUACACCGGCAGUGACUUUCAUGUGGCGACCUAGCCUACAGAGUACAGAGCGUGUCCAGCGUCGGCUACGCCGUCAAGAUUCCCAAAACCAUCGCGGUCAUCCGCGGUGCGCACGGAGUGAGUGUCAGGUGCAUUAAUUGUAUUCCCAUUUGGCCGUUUGAUAAAGUCUAUCUCCACCCAGAGCCGGCAUCCGCUUAUUAAACACAUAUCUUCCGAAUGGAUAUUGGACACUCAAGCCUCGAUUUUUAAUUAAAUGAACUCUUGUUUAUUAACGACAUGUCUGGUUUAGCUUUGAAAACUUAAAUAAGGUAAUUAUCCUUUUGUUUAGUCAUGGAGUAUGGUGGUGUUUGUUGGUUUUAUAAAUUUUAUUUAAUUUUAAACUGAAUGGAAAUUUUGUUGGCGCAAGGCUCAAUGGUAUUGUCCUUAUUACGGUAUUUGGUGAAUCUUAAUAAAAACAGUAC